rnacentral:rRNA from 1 species
CCUACGGGGGGCAGCAGUGGGGAAUAUUGCACAAUGGGGGAAACCCUGAUGCAGCAACGCCGCGUGAGUGAAGGAGUAUUUCGGUAUGUAAAGCUCUAUCAGUAGGGAAGAAGAAAGACGGUACCUGACUAAGAAGCACCGGCUAACUCCGUGCCAGCAGCCGCGGUAAUACGGAGGGUGCGAGCGUUAAUCGGAAUUACUGGGCGUAAAGCGCUCGUAGGCGGUAUGUCAAGUCAAGGGUGAAAUCCCCGCGCUCAACGUGGGAACUGCCUUUGAAACUGGCAAACUGGAGUGUGUGAGAGGAUAGUGGAAUUCCAGGUGUAGGAGUGAAAUCCGUAGAUAUUAGGAGGAACACCAGUGGCGAAGGCGGCUUGCUGGACUGUAACUGACACUGAGGCUCGAAAGCGUGGGGAGCAAACAGGAUUAGAUACCCUAGUAGUC